CCGGGGAUCUGUUCAAUCUACAACAACUCAGCAAAACUGAAACAGAAAAAACUAUCUUUGUCAAAAGUGGCUCACCUGAAGGUUAGAAUAACAUAAAAUAACUUAGCUUAAUAAGUAUCGAGGUCCACUUUUGCAUUAUGUUUUUCGAGAAAGAUGUUAAACAUAUCUGACUUGUUUUUGGCUCUCUACUUUCAGAUCAAACUAAGGCUAAGAAAUCGAUGAAGCUGGUAGUUCUACUUUCAUCCACAACAGCUUUUAUCGUUCUAUUCAUAGGAAGCUUUAGUUACAUUUACUAUAGAAGAAGAAGAAGAAGAAUGACAAAAGGAACAGGUAUUUACUGAAUGAAUCUCACUCUGGAAAAUAUUUCGUUCGUACCUUUUUUUAACUUAAUUUGCUUUCUCAAUCUUAUUGAGGUAAUGAGGUCAUUCUGUUUUUCUUAUUCCUUUUCCCUAAAUGAUACUCAAGGGACACAAAUAUCUCACUUGGACAAGAUUGGAGGAGGAGAAAUCAUUGAUGUUCCAUACUUUUGUUUGGAGACCAUUUUGGUAGCUACAGAUAACUUCUCGAAUGCAAAUAAGCUCGGACAAGGAGGAUUUGGUCCUGUUUACAAGGUUAAAAUAUAAUUAUUGCACCUCUGUGUACUGGUAUGGCUUAAUUGACCAAUAGUAAUGAGAUGAACAACUUUUAACAGGGUAUCUUUCCAGGCGGAAAAGAAAUUGCAGUGAAAAGGUUAUCUAGUCAUUCAGGACAAGGCAUAGAUGAAUUUAAGAAUGAAGUGACUUUAAUUGCAAAACUUCAACACAGAAAUCUGGUCAGGCUUUUGGGCUAUUGCAUCAACGGAAAGGAACAAAUUUUACUGUAUGAAUAUAUGCCAAAUAAAAGUUUAGAUACAUUCAUAUUUGGUAAGUUUGCCAAGGUAUGUUCUUUAUUCUCAAGCACCUAUACUAUUGACAAGAUUUAAUCUUUGUCAUGAUAUUUAUGCAAGAUGGAGAACUUUGCAAAUUAUUGGAUUGGAAGAAGCGCUAUGACAUCAUAUUGGGUAUUGGACGAGGUCUUGCUUAUCUCCACCAUGAUUCACGACUAAGGAUCAUUCAUAGAGAUUUAAAAACCAGCAACAUUUUACUAGAUGAGGAUAUGAAUCCCAAGAUUGCAGACUUUGGCUUGGCGAGGAUUGUUGAAGGAAGAAGAACAGAAGCAAAGACAGAGAAAAUAGUUGGGACCUAGUAAGUAUAACAUCCUUCCUAUUGAUCAUUUUUCCCUUUUGCUUUUGUAAAAUACAUCUAACACGUUUUCGACAUGGUGUAAUCAAGUGGCUAUAUGUCUCCUGAAUAUGCAUCAGAUGGUCUGUUUUCCCUCAAGUCAGAUGUAUUCAGUUUCGGAGUAGUCAUACUUGAGAUGAUCAGUGGACGAAAGAACACAGGAUUUUACCAAUCAGAAGAAGCAUUAAACUUGUUAGGUUAUGUAAGUGCAGAAACUCAGACCUACAUCAUUUUUGUCCUUUUUGCAAGUUUUGAUAUCUAACUGGAAGUUAUCACAGGCAUGGAGAAUGUGGAUAGAAGAAAGGGCAAUGCAAUUAACAGAGAAGUCAUUACUAGAAUCAUGCAAUAGAAGUGAAGUGAUGAAGUGUAUCAAUGUUGCACUCUUGUGCGUGCAAGAAGAUUCAAAUGAUCGUCCUAAAAUGUCAGAUGUCAUUGUAAUGUUGGUAGGAGAAGGUACGAGUCUUCAGAGACCUAAUAGACCAGCUUUUGUAAUAAGAACACACGCGUCUAGCAGACCAUCUUCUCCCUCAAAAGUCUCUAACAAUCAAGUGACAAUUACAGAAGAAGGAGGACGGUAGUAAUGGUGUGAGAUCAUCUUAAUUUUCAUUUAUAUAUGAUACAAUUGUAAUGUUUUCCUGCAGACUUCUAAAGCACGAGCAGAAAAAUAAUCUAUAUUUUGUUAGUAUCUUGAUUGUAAUUUGUAGCCAUGACAUUGUUAUCCUUACACAUAUAUUACAUGCACUUUUCAGAUCUCAAUCAUUUAUCUCUUAAUGCUUCCAAGUGGGGCUGCUCAACUAAAACCUUAUCUCAUAGUCUCUCGAGAACAACCAAAUAUAACAACAUCAUUAAUCAAUGGCCAAUCAAUUAAUUACAAUCAUUACAUAGUUGAACAAAUAGGGUUAGAAAAACUCAAUUAUAUAAAAAUGUAACAAGAAUUCAUCUUGCAUAAGGUUUUACCAAAUUUCUAGAUAGAAAAUUAGCUACUCAUAAAAGUAUGUAAAAAUACACUAAGAAAAUUCAUAACCAAUAAUAAAAAAUAGAAAAAAGAAAGUAACGGAAAACUCAUUAUGUAUCAAAUCUUUCGCCUUGCUCCACAAUGGCUCCUUGGUCUCACCUUAGGUCAAACCACCUCCAAUACAUGUUUAUGAACUAUUUAUAGGUGUAGAAAAGUUUCAAAUAAAUUAAUCAAUUUCAAAAUAAUUUGAAAAAAAAUCAAAUUUAGAAUUGACUUGACACACCAUCCACGGACAAAUUUCCAGUGACAAAAAUUGUUGGGUCGCUUGGAAUGGUGUUAUUCUUCAAUACUUGUGAUUUCAUAACUUUUCCUUGGGGACAAUCAUUAUUUCCCCACUUGUCUCCCUCUUCUUUUACCUUUUUUUUCUUGUUUUAAUUUAAUUUUGCUCCGAAUUUUGACAUCUUCAAAUUAUUUCAUACAAUCUAUUAUAUACCCAUAUUUAUAUGAGUGGAUUGAAGUCCAAUUCAUUUUCAAUAUUGCUACUUUUUUGCCGCCACUAAUUAGAAGAAAAAUGAAAGUAUGUUAGCAAUAAGAAAUAUCAACUUGUUUUUUACUACAUUCAUCGACUCCAAAGCAGAAACGUCUCCUUAUUGUUUCAGCCAUAUUCAACAAAUUGUGUUAUGUGUAGCCAUCGAAAUGAACAAUCGUUGGCCUCUAGUACUCUUUUUAUGCUUCAAACUCAACAGUAAUCUAUGUUUUGGAGGGGACACUAUUUCCGCGAAUAAAUCUCUUUCAUUUGGCGAAACAAUAGUCUCUUCAGGUGAGAAAUUUGAGCUUGGUUUCUUCAAAUCAGGUAAUUCUUUCAACUACUACAUAGGCAUAUGGUACAAGAACACUAUUUUAUGGCAAAAUGUAGUAUGGGUAGCAAAUAGGGAUAAACCACUUGAUUAUGGUACUGCUAACUUAACAAUUCUUCAAGGCAACCUGGUGCUUAUCGAUAAAUUUCAAGGUAUAGUUUUGUCAACACAUGUUGCUAGGACUAUUACUUCAAAUAAUUCAGUCAUAGCAGUUCUUCGUGACGAUAUAAAUUUGAUUUUGAGUGAUAUGUCAAAUUCAUCAGCAACCUUAAUACUAUGGGAAAGUUUUGACUAUCCAACAGAUACAUUGUUGCCUGGUGCUAAGCUUAGAUACGACAAACGUCGUACACAUAGGGGACAGGUUCUGAUUUCAUGGAAGAGUUUGAGUGAUCCAGCACCAGGAUUGUAUUCUCUAGAACUAGACCCCAUCCAUGCCCGAUUUGUUAUAAAAUGGAAUAGGACUAAACAAUUUUGGGCAAGUGGUUCAUGGAAUGGCCAUACGUUCAGCCCGUUUCCUAAAAUGGGGUUAGACUACACGUAAAAUUACAACUAUACCAACAAUGGAAAUGGAUCAUAAGUUACAUAUUCCCUUUCUAAUUAUACUAGUUCAUGGCCACCAAAGUGGAAAAUAGAUGUCUCAGGAAAAAUUAAGGAACUCGUAUGGUUGGAUAGUGACUCUCAUUGGACUCUAUUGUGGUCUCAACCUAGAGAACAAUUUACGCUUAUUGUGGGGCAUUUGGAGUUUGCAAUAAUGCUAAUUCAUCCUGAAACUGUUUAAGCGGUUUCAAGCCAAGAUCAUAUAGAGAAUGGAGUUCGAAUGAUUAUAUGAGUGGCUGUGUAAGAAAUGAAAAGUUAAAGUGCAGUGCAAUUAAUAAAGAUGAGGAUAGUUUUUGGAUGAAUUCAAUUAUGAGAUUACCUGCUUCUCCAGAUACUAAUAUCACCAUUAGCGAAGCAUCACAGUGUAGAUCUACUUGUUUCAACGAUUGCUCUUGCACUGCUUAUACUUAUGAUGGUUCCGGUACCUGUUCAAUUUGGAGAGGAUAUCUAUUAAAUCUGCAACAACUCAGCGAAAAUGAAACAGGAAGGAGUAUCUUUGUCAAACGCGGCUCAACUGAAGGUUAGAAUAGCUAAAACUUAGUAGGAUUUCUUAUAUACAUUAGCAAUUAGCAACAACAAUGAUUCUCCUUUUCCUUUUUCCUUAAGCUUGAAAUAAAUUCUUAAAAGGUAUUUGUGAGUUAGCCUUAUUAAGUUCCACCCGAGGCAUUCGUCAAGUUAUUCAUAUCAUAAUAGAAGGUUGAUGUUGACAGUUGAAAGACUAAAGAAAAAUUAAGUCUGAAUUUUGAUUUUUAGACAAAAGAUGAUGGAACAUCAAUCCAAAUAUUUCAGUCACUGCAAUUCUUCGUGAUGAUGGAAAUUUGAUUUUGAGUGAUGUGUCAAAGGCAUCAACACCCUUACUACUUUGGCAAAGUUUUGACUACCAAACACACAUACUUUUGCCUGGUGCUAAACUUGGAUAUGACAAACAUACACAAAGAAAACACAUUCUGGUUUCAUAGAAGAAUUUGAGUGAUUCAGCACCAGGAUUGUAUUCUGUGGAAAUAGACCCAAAGCAUGUUGUUAUAAAAUAGAAUAGGACUACAGAGUAUUGGGCAAGUGGUUCAUGGGAUGGCCAAAUGUUCAGCACAGUACCUGAAAUGAGGUUAAGCUACAUAUAUGAUUGUAGAUACAGAAAGGACUAUAUUUGUCAAGAGUGGCUCACCUUUAGGUUAGAAUAGCAUAGUGUAACAUAGCUUGAUUCUUUAUUCAUAAUGGUACUAUGAUAUUGAUAGAAUUCCUUAUUAACGUUAGCACUUAACAACAAUGAUUCUCCUUUUCCUUUUCCUGUGUUGAGGAGCUUGUUGAGCAAACUAGAACUUAAGAUAGAAAUAAUUCUUAAAAAGUAUUAAUGAUAAGUUCUGAGGUCCAAUGAAUAUUUGCAUCAAAGUUCUUCAAGAUAGAUGCUAAUAUAUCUAACAUGGUUUUGGAUUUAUACUUUCAGCUCAAACUAAAGCUAAGAAAUCGAUGAAGCUAAAAGCACUCCUUUCGUCCAUAACAGCUUUGAUGUUUCUAAUCAUAGGCAGCUUUAGCUACAUUUACUAUAGAAGAAGAAUGGCAAAAAGAGCAGGUAUUUUCUGAAUGAAUAUAACUCUAGAAGAUAUUUUUUCUUAAACCAUUUUGGACUUGAUAUCAAAGUUCAUUCUCAAUCCAAUUGAGGUAAUGAAAUCCCUCCCCCUUUCUAUUUCAGAUAGAAGUAAAGGUACUCAAGGGGCACAUAAAUCUCACUGGCACAAAGCUGAAGGAGAAGCGAAAGUAUUGAUGAAUGAAAACAGUGAUGAAGCGAUUUGAUGUUCCAUACUUUUCACUUGGAGACCAUUUUUGGCUGCUACAGACAACUUCUCAAAUGCAAAUAAGCUCGGACAAGGAGGAUUUGGUCCUGUUUACAAGGUUAAAAUUACAAUCUUACAUCUCUGUGGACUGGUAUGGACGCACCACAUUGACCAAUAGUAAUGAGAUGAAAAACUUUUGGCAGGGCAUCUUUCCUUGCGAAAAAGAAAUUGCAGUGAAAAGGUUAUCUAGUCAUUCAGGACAAGGCAUAGAUGAAUUUAAGAAUGAAGUGACUCUAAUUGCAAAGCUUCAACAUCGAAAUCUGGUGAGACUACUAUUGGGCUAUUGCAUCAAUGCAAUGGAACAAAUUUUACUAUAUGAAUAUAUGCCACAUAAAAGUCUAGAUACAUUCAUAUUUGGUAAGUUUGCCAAGAUUUGUUCUUUAUUCUCAAGCUACUAUACUUUUGACAAGAUUUAAUUUUGUUAAUUGAUGUCAUUUUAUUUGUUCUAAUGAUAACUAUGCAAGAUGGAAAACUUUGCAAAUUAUUGGAUUGGAAGAAGCGCUAUGACAUCAUAUUGGGCAUUGGACGAGGUCUUGCUUAUCUCCACCAUGAUUCACGACUAAGGAUCAUUCAUAGAGAUUUAAAAACCAGCAACAUUUUACUAGAUAAGGAGAUGAAUCCCAAGAUUGCAGACUUUGGCUUGGCGAGGAUUGUUGAAGGAAAAAGAACAGAGGCAAAGACAAAGAAAAUAGUUGGGACCUAGUAAGUAUAACAUCCUUCCUAUCGAUCAUUUUCUCCUUUUGUUUUUGUAAAAUACAUCUAACACGUUUUCGACAUGGUGUAAUCAAGUGGCUAUAUGUCUCCUAAAUAUGCAUCAGAUGGUCUAUUUUCCAUCAAGUCAGAUGUAUUCAGUUUCGGAGUUGUCAUACUUGAGAUAAUCAGUGGAAGAAAGAAUACAGGAUUUUACCAAUCAGAAGAAGCAUUAAACUUGUUAGGUUAUGUAAGUGAAGAAACUCAGACCUACAUCAUUUUUGUCAUUUUUGCAAGUUUUGAUAUCUAAUUGGAAGUUAUCAUAAGCAUGGAGAAUGUGGAUAGAAGAAAGGGUAAUACAAUUAACAGAGAAGUCAUUACUUGAAUCAUGCAAUAGAAGUGAAGUGAUGAAGUGUAUCAAUGUUGCACUCUUGUGCGUGCAAGAAGAUUCAAAUGAUCGUCCUAAAAUGUCAGAUGUCAUUGUAAUGUUGGUAGGAGAAGGUUUGAGUCUUCAGAGACCUAAUCGACCAGCUUUUGUAAUAAGAACACACACGUCUAGCACAUUGUCUUCUUCCUCAAAAUUCUCUAACAAUCAAGUGACAAUUACAGAAGAAGGAGGACGAUAACAAUGGUGUGAGAUAGUCUUAACUUUUUAUUUAUAUAUGAUACAAUUGUAAUUUUGUCCUGCAGACUUCUGAAGCACUAAGCAGAAACUAGGUCUCAUGCAUGCUUUCCAAAAGCAUAUGGCCUUCAUGAAAAUUGUUAAAUAUUAAAAUAAUCUUAUGCAUAGUCGUUAUAUUGUUGUUUGUAGUAACAAUAAAUCCUGAAAUCUCUUUUUUUAAUAAACUAUCUACACCCCAAACAGUGUAAUUUUUUAAAACACUAUCUUAUGUAUAAUCGUUAAUAUCUUGAUGUUGAACUUUUGUAGCCAUUACUUUGUUAUCCUAGCACAUAUAUUAAUGCACUUUUCAGAUCUCUCUAGCCUCAAUCUUAUAUUCAUCGUUUAAGUACCUGCAUUGUUGAAUAUCCAGUCUAUUUGCAUCCGUCUCGUUGUUGGAUCAACUGAGUGAUUGUUGUUAAAGAAAAAGGUGGGAACUCAUGACCCCAGAUCAUAAAAGGGUGGUAGAGCUGCAGAAGGCAUUGACGACGAUGGCUUCUAACAACACCGGAGUAAGUGGGCAGACGCUACUGGGAACGCCCACACCACAAAGAGAAUCAAGAAUCCGUUUCGCAGCUGAGGCCCUUCCAGAAGAAUAUAGGGCUGACAGGUCGGGAAGUGGUUUCAAGAUUGGAACGUUGAUGCUGCAGUCUAUCAGGUAUGAACUCAGGUCGGGCCUGAAGGAAUACCCUCCUGAACUAGAUCCCCAGAGCAUCUCUGGCCUUGAAGGGACCAGAUCCUCAAAGUUGCUCUUAACUACCAUACAAGGCCAGUGCCACACCGAAACCUAUUCCAAAAAGGUUCAGGAUGCCGGAUAUACCAAAAAAUGACGCAAGCUUUGUAAAGAUAUGACACCUGGGUCUAACUCAACCCCAAAAGCUAGUUCAUGAGGAGAGGAUUGCCCAAGUCCAUAUAAGGAGACCACCAGUCCAUUCUCCAACCAAUGUGGGACUUUUACCUACUCUAACACCCCCCUUCACUCCCAGGCCUAGCUGGCACGUGGACCGGAGCCCAAAUGGGGACGUGGCCUGGCUCUAAUACCAUGUAAAGAUAUGACACCUGGGUCUAACUCAACCCCAAAAGCUAGCUCAUGAGGGGAAGAUUGCCCAAGUCCAUAUAAAGAGACCACCAGUCCAUUCUCCAACCAAUGUGAGACUUUUACCCACUCUAACACCCCUCUUCACAUCCAGGCCUAACUGGCGCGUGGACCGGGAGCCCAAAUGGGGAUGUGGACCUAGCUCUGAUACCAUGUAAAGAUAUAGCACCUGGGCCUAACUCAACCCCAAAAGCUAGCUCAUGAAGGGAGGAUUGCUCAAGUCCAUAUAAGGAGACCACCAAUCCAUUCUCCAACCAAUGUGGGACUUUUACCCACUCUAACAAGCUUGAAUACCCUCAUUAAGCAAACAUGCAAGGGAGAUUUCGUCUAUCUCGCCUUGGUUUUUUUUGGUAAGGUUUCAAAUAGUCGGCCACCAUGACUAUUUUUUAGAGAAGGUUAACUUUUUCAAAAACCAAUAAACCCUUAUCCUCAAAGAUGGGACUAGAGCGGCCAUCGCCGAGAUGAAAAAAGCUAGCUUUUCAGGGGGAAGAUGAAGGCUGGGAUAUGAUCUUUGUUGCACCCAACCCUGAGCCAAUAUGAGUAUAAGGUAUAGGCCAACGAGAUUUGACCAUUUCGACAUGUUCAACCUCAACGUACAAUUGUUCGACCUCACUGAGGUCUGUGAUAGAGGUGGCCGAAGAUCUCUUCUUUGUAAGAGGUAAGGCAUCAUCACAAAUCUCCUCAAUGUAAGACUCAGCUGGCAGCAGUGAUCAGUCCAUUGCCAUGGAUAACAGUUGAGGCCUUAUCAGGUUUUUUCUUCUUUUGUGGCGAAGAAUUAGAGGCCACAACUGUUUCCUCAGCAGCAAUGGCCGGUUAUGAGGGACGUUUGACCCUGAGAACACAGUCACAUAUUGUCGAGCUUCCUACGGCGUAACAAACUCUUUUGGUUCGCAGCUCGGACGAACCCUUUGGAAGACCUAUGUGUACAAAAAUAUAUUUUAAAAAAUGGAUAUACUUUCAUAUGAGUAUUUUAGAGAAGAAUUAAUAAGAAAUACAGUGAUUUUAGCUUUUUAGCCUUUGACGCCGGAUAUUUGCUUCCAUGACCGAUCCUUGGACACGGCAAUGUCCAAAACCUUUGAAACCAUUGCCAGAUAGGGAGUCGUUAAACAACAACCAAGCAUGCGCUGAGUAAUAAAUUCUAUAUGAACUUAAAACAGGGUAUCGAAAGACCGCAAAGAGAGAAAAUGUAUGAAGACUUGUGGGUAAGGUUCCAUGAUUCUGGAAUCAGGUACUCCAGAACAAUAUCUUCGGUGGUGACGAUAACAAUUCUCUCCAUCCAACGGUGGUCAUGAUCAUUAUCUAGACUUGUGCGAGGAGAAUAAAGCAAGAUCAAGUAAUCCAAAGAAAAGGAUUGACUGGCUUUCUCAGCCAACACUCAGAGGCAAGUCAGGGCCCUUCAAAUGACCGUACCCACUUGCGCCAGACAUAUCUGGUAGAACUAGUAGAAUCGGAUGAAAACCUCGUCUAUUUCUGGGUCUCUGAAGUUGAGAGCGAAGCAGUAAGAAUAGAUAAACAAAUAACUGGGUUUGGAGAAGUUUAAGCUCUCGAUAAUACCAGGAGAAAAUACCCUAACUUUAUCUUCUGGCUACUUAUAGUUAGACCGAAUGGUGGGUAGAUGUUCUUCACAGAUUAGAGAAACAGUAACACUGGCUAGUUUUCAAAACUAUUAUAUCAACUGAAGGCUCUGGGGACUCAACUUAUACUUAUUUGUUUUCCUUCGGGCCACCAUCGAAGAGAGAAGAAUUAGGAUGAGUCGGAGACGAAACAUCGUUGGUAAAAUCUGGGAAAGAAUGAAAAUAAGAAGGUUUGAAUAUAACGAGAUGUGAAGUUUUGAAGAUUCAAGGAUUAAAGGCAAGAAAUCAAAGAGAUGAAGAGAAACUUGGAAAAUUGUAGAAGUUGGGAAUUGGUACAAAGGGCACUAUUUAUAGAUUCAUGAACGAAGAAGUCAUCAUUAUCUUGAUUGACGCGCCAUUUCUGGAUCAGGAUCUAGACGAUGCAUGGUAAGCGCAUUUACAGCGAUGGGAUAUUCACCUCUGUGAAUGUCAAGAGACGUUUCAUUUACUUUCCUGCCUAGGAAUUUUGAAAAUACUCUGCUUUCUGGUUACAAGUUAGCAAAGUAUCCGAAAAGCGGGGGUACUAUCUGUAUUAGGGAAAAUUAUCAUGUAUAUGUGGACACUUAUAACAAAGGGACACCAAGCAUCAGAGUGUUACCGGAGGAUGAUUUAGCAUAGAGACAUCGGGAAGAGCUUCCUUCGAGAUGUCAUCGUUUAAGUACCUAAAUUGUUGCACAUCCACUCCGUUUGAUUUUAUCUCAUUGCCGGAUCAACAAGUGAUUGUUAUUAAAGAAAAAGGUGGAAACUCAUGGCCCAAGGUCAUGAAAGAAGAAGAAAGGGACUUGUGGCCCGAAGACACGUCAACCAGGUCUGGAUAAGAUCCUGCGAAUCACGGGAGAAUAAUAGUUGGCUCACGUAACGGUAUUUCCAGGUGGAUUACUUUAAUUGGACAAUGUACCUUAGGGCUCGAGUGGAGUUUUCCUAUUGGCUGGUGUAUUUUCUUUGUUGCCUAUGAUUUCAUAUCAUGAUUUCAUCUCAUAUGAUCAAACAGGCUCUAAGAGAAUAUGUAUCUACUUUCAAAUGUUUGGUCGGCCUAAAAGUGCUUAGAGAAAAGUGUCAUGGCUGACAAAAUCUUGAAAGAAGCCAUGAGUGGACACAAGCAGGUGAAACUUUGACAAAAGGCAUCAAAAAACUUCAGUAGAUUGAAAAAAGUAUAAAGAAGUUACAGGCUCUUAUCUAAUGGGCCAACUCUCACUACCUCAAAAGUUCACUUGGGAAAUUUCACAAACACAUUGUACGCGAUUUACUAAUGGACAAUAAACACACACAAAUAACAAGUAUUCCAAUAUAUAUUUGAGUUGUAAGAAAUUGAAUAUGGAUUAACAAAGUACCUGUCUGUGGUUAUCGAUUCUGCAACAAGCGGCAAGUGGAAAUGCAGGGAGGCUGCAAUCUUUGUGGGAUAAAUUGGAGGAGAAAUACAUUGUUGACAAGUCAUUGUCUCCAUUUGUAUCAAACCAUUG
rnacentral:lncRNA from 1 species